UUGAAAGCCAACCUUGAAAGUUGUAGAAU
rnacentral:piRNA from 1 species